rnacentral:tRNA from 1 species
GGCGCUGUGGCUCAAGUGGUAGAGCACUAGCCUUAAGAGCUGAGGAACAGUGCCC